rnacentral:misc_RNA from 1 species
AUGCUCUUCAUUCUAGCUUUCUUUACAACUCUCAACUAUUACCAACACUCAACACCAACUUCCCUUUUUUACUUCAAUUCUUUCAUCUCUUCCGCUACUAACUACACCCUCGCUACCUACCUUCGUCACCUCACUCUCCACCCUCAUCUUGCUGGUACAGCCCCUUCACUUCAUACAGCUCUUUACGUGAAGUCUCAUUUUCAAUCCUUAAAUCUUCAAACCCAUGUUGCUAAUUACUCUGUUCUUCUAUCAUACCCUUUGUUUUCUUCAGUUAUUCUCCAUUUCCCAAAUGGGUCGGUGCUUUCUUUAGGUUUGGUUGAGCCGGGUUUUUCUUCUAGCGGCGUUGUGAAGCCUUAUCAUGCUUAUUCGCCAUCUGGGUCGGCGUAUGGUGAGCCGUGUUUUUUGAAUUAUGGGAGGGAAAAGGACUAUAUUGCCCUUGGUGCGAGUGGGGUGAAGGUUAAAGGGUGUGUUGGGAUUGUGAGGAGGGGUGGUGGGUUAUCGAGGAAUGAGAUGGUGGAGAAGGCGGCGGCGAGAGGGGUGAAAGCGGUAUUGAUGUUUACGGAGGGUGAGUUUGAAAAUGGGGUUGAAAGAGGGACAGUGAUGAAUGGUUUAGGGGACCCAUUAAGUCCGGG